GGUGGCAAAUGAUGCAGAUAUCUUAUCCUACACGCUGAACAUGCCGUGUAGACUAUACUCUGCUUAUUAUAUCUGAUGCAAUU
rnacentral:snoRNA from 1 species